rnacentral:lncRNA from 1 species
UUUAAGGCAAUUGGCUUCCAAACUUUGUAAAACUCUUAGACUACGCAUGACUACUUUCCUAAUUGUGUUGGGGAGUAAUGGGGAUUGAGGAUGGGUUUUAUUUGUUGAUUGAAAUUGUUGUAAAUGAAAGAUGGGGAAUAAAACGAGCUAAAUGUGUUAUAUGUGACUUGAAUUUGUUGAAUAAGUCAUGUGAUAACUCAUAUUGAGGGG